rnacentral:lncRNA from 1 species
AGGUUCACCAUCGCUGUCCUAGGGCAUAUUUCUUCGAAUAAUAGCUGAGGAACAGGUAUAAAUUAGAAACAGAUAGAUAUAUAGCAACAAAUUAGAGUGCUUGGAAUUUUAGUACUCACCAGACUCACCAGCCUAUCUCCUUCUUUAAAAGAAAUCCCUAAAGCAGACUUGAUUUCCUGGCUGGAAGGAGGAGAAGAUCCAUUUGUCCAGAUCUCUGAUGAGCAGAAGAGAUUGGCAGGUGCCUGCUUAGGUAUGUGUUAUGGGACCAUUGAAGGGUUUCCUCUUAAAAUUCCAGCUUGUAUCUAGUCAGUAGGAAUAAUCAGCACCAAGUUAUGUUGAGCCCCUCAGCAGUACUCAGAGAGCAAUCAGCACACAGCACAAUGCAGUAGCACACUCCUAGGCUAUAUUUAUUGUUCUUGGGAUCUAAAGUAUUCCCAACAGUAUUCACAGCUUGAUCCAUCAGUCUCCCUUGUGACCACUUUCCUCCUGCACAACAAGCGCUAGACAUGUCUCUUGGAACUAUGGCACACCAAGAUGACUGCUUCUUUGGUGUCAACCUCCAUAAGCAGUUCUUCAGAUUCAUAUUUAUUGUUCUUGGGUUCUAAACACAGCUAUUCGUUGAGGAUGAUGGGUAGUGAGCAUUUCCUAGUUUAUUUCUUCUCUCCUUCCAAAGCCUGGCUGCCGUUCCGUUUUUCUCCCAUUCUGUGGCAGUAGACAUUCCUGUAUAUAACCAGUGGUAAGUUCACACCCACACAUGCUCUAACCAAUCAGGAUACCAUCCAGAAAUAAACUUCUGUCAUUGUUAGAGAUAACAGGUUAUUGAGAAGCUGAUUUAAUUCCAGCAAAGGCCAUAGGGAAGAAAAGAUUAUCCUUCUUGAGAAAGGGGCGGGGAGGGGGAGAAGAAAUAAUUUGAUCUCUGGAUAGGUUUGAAGCUUCCAAGUCUUCUUGAAAUGCCUGACAAGAUAUUAUUUCUUUUUUGUUAUUAUUUCCCAAAUUCAGGGGAUGACAACUGCCAGAACCUACCACACGUGUCAUGGGAAGAUAAGGAGCCUGAAGAAGCAAGAGCGUUAUUUGGGAAUCUAAAGGGACCAGAGAAUCAUGUGCAAAACCAGUCCAAAAAAGGAAAGAAAAAAAAUCUUUGGGUUCUCAGAAGGCAGAUGGCAAAUUAAAGAGCUACGGGAUAAU